rnacentral:rRNA from 1 species
AUUGAACGCUGGCGGCAGGCCUAACACAUGCAAGUCGAACGAGUGGCGGACGGGUGAGUAAUGUCUGGGAAACUGCCCGAUGGAGGGGGAUAACUACUGGAAACGGUAGCUAAUACCGCAUACCAUCGGAUGUGCCCAGAUGGGAUUAGCUAGUAGGUGGGGUAAUGGCUCACCUAGGCGACGAGCCCUAGCUGGUCUGAGAGGAUGACCAGCAACACUGGACCUGGGACACGGUCCAGACUCCUACGGGAGGCGCCAGUGGGGAAUAUUGCCCAAUGGGCGAAAGCCGGAUGCAGCCAUGCCGCUUGUAUGAGAACGGCUUUCGGGUUGUAAAGUAUGUUCAGCGAGAAGGCGUUACUCACAGAGGAAGCACCGGCUAACUCCGUGCCAGCCGCCGCGGUAAUAC